AUUUUCUCAAAGAUUAAGCCAUGCAUGUCUAAGUAUAAAUAGUAUACAGUGAAACUGCGAAUGGCUCAUUAAAACAGUUAUAGUUUAUUUGAUAAUGGAAAGCUACAUGGAUAACCGUGGUAAUUCUAGAGCUAAUACAUGCGUUCAAGCCCGACUUUUCGGAAGGGCUGUAUUUAUUAGAUAUCAAGCCAAUAUUCCUUCGGGUCUAUUGUGGUGAAUCAUAGUAACUGAUCGAAUCCCUUUUUGGGAUAAAUCAUUCAAGUUUCUGCCCUAUCAGCUUUCGAUGGUAGUGUAUUGGACUACCAUGGCAGUCACGGGUAACGGAGAAUUAGGGUUCGAUUCCGGAGAGGGAGCCUGAGAAACGGCUACCACAUCUAAGGAAGGCAGCAGGCGCGUAAAUUACCCAAUCCUGAUUCAGGGAGGUAGUGACAAGGAAUAACAACCUGGGGGUCUUUGACCUUACGGGAUUGCAAUGAGAACAAUUUAAAAGACUUAUCGAGGAACAAUUGGAGGGCAAGUCUGGUGCCAGCAGCCGCGGUAAUUCCAGCUCCAAUAGCGUAUAUUAAAGUUGUUGCAGUUAAAAAGCUCGUAGUUGAAUUUCUGUACAGUCCCGGUUCUGGCUUCUGUCAAGCCGUGGGUUGUGCAUCCGCUUGCAAACCUAGCCCGGUCUUUACUGAUCGACUAGGGGAGUAAGCCCUUUACUUUGAAAAAAUUAGAGUGUUUCAGGCAGGCAAUGGCUCGAAUACAUUAGCAUGAAUAAUGGAAUAGGACUUUUGUCCAUUUGGUUGGUUAUUGGAUGA
rnacentral:rRNA from 1 species